rnacentral:rRNA from 1 species
CCACCCUUUAAUGUUUGAUGUUCUAACGUUGACCCGUAAUCCGGGUUGCGGACAGUGUCUGGUGGGUAGUUUGACUGGGGCGGUCUCCUCCUAAAGAGUAACGGAGGAGCACGAAGGUUGGCUAAUCCUGGUCGGACAUCAGGAGGUUAGUGCAAUGGCAUAAGCCAGCUUGACUGCGAGCGUGACGGCGCGAGCAGGUGCGAAAGCAGGUCAUAGUGAUCCGGUGGUUCUGAAUGGAAGGGCCAUCGCUCAACGGAUAAAAGGUACUCCGGGGAUAACAGGCUGAUACCGCCCAAGAGUUCAUAUCGACGGCGGUGUUUGGCACCUCGAUGUCGGCUCAUCACAUCCUGGGGCUGAAGUAGGUCCCAAGGGUAUGGCUGUUCGCCAUUUAAAGUGGUACGCGAGCUGGGUUUAGAACGUCGUGAGACAGUUCGGUCCCUAUCUGCCGUGGGCGCUGGAGAACUGAGGGGGGCUGCUCCUAGUACGAGAGGACCGGAGUGGACGCAUCACUGGUGUUCGGGUUGUCAUGCCAAUGGCACUGCCCGGUAGCUAAAUGCGGAAGAGAUAAGUGCUGAAAGCAUCUAAGCACGAAACUUGC